UUUUUCAUAACUUUCAAAAUCAUUUUUGCAUUUAUUAAUAUUUUGUUUCAUUUUUAUUUUUAGUUUUCAUUUUCAAUUUUAUUUUUGAUCAUUUUCAAACAUUUUGAGAUCCAACUUUUGAGGUCUAUUUACUUGUAUUUUUCUUGACUUUCCUUUUUUUUUUCAACCAUUUAUUUUAUGUUUUGGUGCUUGAUUUGAUUUUUCUAUUUAAUUUUCCUUUUUAAUCAAUUUUAAAAUCUUUUUUUGAUUGAUUUUUG
rnacentral:lncRNA from 1 species